AGAGUUUGAUCAUGGCUCAGAUUGAACGCUGGCGGCAGGCCUAACACAUGCAAGUCGAGCGGUAGCACAGAGAGCUUGCUCUCGGGUGACGAGCGGCGGACGGGUGAGUAAUGUCUGGGAAACUGCCUGAUGGAGGGGGAUAACUACUGGAAACGGUAGCUAAUACCGCAUAACGUCGCAAGACCAAAGUGGGGGACCUUCGGGCCUCAUGCCAUCAGAUGUGCCCAGAUGGGAUUAGCUAGUAGGUGGGGUAACGGCUCACCUAGGCGACGAUCCCUAGCUGGUCUGAGAGGAUGACCAGCCACACUGGAACUGAGACACGGUCCAGACUCCUACGGGAGGCAGCAGUGGGGAAUAUUGCACAAUGGGCGCAAGCCUGAUGCAGCCAUGCCGCGUGUGUGAAGAAGGCCUUCGGGUUGUAAAGCACUUUCAGCGGGGAGGAAGGCGGUGAGGUUAAUAACCUCACCGAUUGACGUUACCCGCAGAAGAAGCACCGGCUAACUCCGUGCCAGCAGCCGCGGUAAUACGGAGGGUGCAAGCGUUAAUCGGAAUUACUGGGCGUAAAGCGCACGCAGGCGGUCUGUCAAGUCGGAUGUGAAAUCCCCGGGCUCAACCUGGGAACUGCAUUCGAAACUGGCAGGCUAGAGUCUUGUAGAGGGGGGUAGAAUUCCAGGUGUAGCGGUGAAAUGCGUAGAGAUCUGGAGGAAUACCGGUGGCGAAGGCGGCCCCCUGGACAAAGACUGACGCUCAGGUGCGAAAGCGUGGGGAGCAAACAGGAUUAGAUACCCUGGUAGUCCACGCUGUAAACGAUGUCGAUUUGGAGGUUGUGCCCUUGAGGCGUGGCUUCCGGAGCUAACGCGUUAAAUCGACCGCCUGGGGAGUACGGCCGCAAGGUUAAAACUCAAAUGAAUUGACGGGGGCCCGCACAAGCGGUGGAGCAUGUGGUUUAAUUCGAUGCAACGCGAAGAACCUUACCUGGUCUUGACAUCCACAGAACUUNUUGGUGCCUUCGGGAACUGUGAGACAGGUGCUGCAUGGCUGUCGUCAGCUCGUGUUGUGAAAUGUUGGGUUAAGUCCCGCAACGAGCGCAACCCUUAUCCUUUGUUGCCAGCGGUUAGGCCGGGAACUCAAAGGAGACUGCCAGUGAUAAACUGGAGGAAGGUGGGGAUGACGUCAAGUCAUCAUGGCCCUUACGACCAGGGCUACACACGUGCUACAAUGGCAUAUACAAAGAGAAGCGACCUCGCGAGAGCAAGCGGACCUCAUAAAGUAUGUCGUAGUCCGGAUUGGAGUCUGCAACUCGACUCCAUGAAGUCGGAAUCGCUAGUAAUCGUAGAUCAGAAUGCUACGGUGAAUACGUUCCCGGGCCUUGUACACACCGCCCGUCACACCAUGGGAGUGGGUUGCAAAAGAAGUAGGUAGCUUAACCUUCGGGAGGGCGCUUACCACUUUGUGAUUCAUGACUGGGGUGAAGUCGUAACAAGGUAACCGUAGGGGAACCUGCGGUUGGAUCACCU
rnacentral:rRNA from 1 species